UGAGAGGAAUGCUGGCUGUCAGG
rnacentral:piRNA from 1 species